UGUUCACUUAGUACAUAAGUGUCGGAUCCCUGACCUACCCCCACCCUCCAAAGUUGUCUCUCUCACUCUCUAUUACCAAAAAUGUAACACCGCCCCUCACCACCCCAAGUCGCCGCUGGAAAUCGCCUCACGGCGGUGGCCGGUCUCCAUUUCCACCCAAAUUUACACCACCGUAUCUCCUCAUUACCCUCUUCUCAAAUCCACCUUCAGUUUACCUCAAAUCUAAUCCAUACCCUUCGAAUCUCAGAUCGAAAUUCUAACCAAAAUACCAUCACCUCCAAACCCGUCCAAAAUUACACCCCAUGCUCCUCUCCUUCUCCCUUUUCCAUAUCCAGGUUCAUUUUUCUUCAAAUCCAGCCAAGCUUCUCGAAUAUAAAAUUAAAGUUCUGACCUUAAAUCCUAAUUCUUCCAAACAUCCCCAAAAUCAUACCCCCCAGCUUUCCUCGACUUCCUUAUUCAAAAUUUCAAGGCAGAAUCCGUAGAAUCCAAGUGGAAUCCCACGAAUCUUGAAUCUAGGGUUGAAGAACUAUAAUUCGUGUGUGCUUUCAAGUGUUCAAAACCAGUAAGUUUUUAUUUUUCUUGUUGAUUUAUUUGAAUUAUUUUCUCUUCAUGGCUAUUUUUUGCUUCAUUAAGUGAUUUGGUUCUAUUUGGGGUUCGGUAAUCAAGUUUGUUCUUCUUUGUUCAUUUCAUUCUGUCUUGAGUUUUGUUAAUUGUUAACAUGAAUCUGUUCUUUAUUUCGUCAUUAGUAUAGGCAUUAGUUUCUUGUUUAGUGUUUUAGGUUUAGUCUUAAUUGUUGGUUAUCCAUUUUUAGUUAGUAAGAUUUCUCCUUGUUUUUUUUCAGGAUUGUUAAUUCUGUUCUAGUCUUCCUUUGUAAUUCAAUUCUAUUUGUUUGGUUUGAUCUUGUUCUUGUGUUCAGUUAGUCGAUCUAUAAGUUUUGACUGCAACUUGAAUUUAGUUGAUUGAUUGUAGUUCAUUGUUAGAUUUAAUUUCAUGUUUAGUUAAAUUAUCCCGUUAGUUUAAUUUUAGGAUCUUUUGGUUGUAGCUGAACAGGUUAGAAUUUUGUUUAGCCAUGGUUAGUUCUUGACCAACUAGGGUAAAUGAGGUUGGGAUUAGACUAAUCUGGUAAUUUUGGAAUGAAAAUAAGGGUAAUAUAGGUAAUUCAAAUAGGGAAUCUUACAAGUAGCUGAACAAGAACUCCUUAGAGUCUUCUAGAUAGGGUUCAAAAUGAAAUUUUAGAAGAAUUCGUAGUAUAACUUGAGAAACAAGCCAAAAUUUCAGGGACCUAUGUAUAAAAACUGAAAAUAAAAAGGAGAAAAAAUGAGUAAAUGAGAUCUAGAAGCUUCCUUCCCCUCUUCUGCUUAUAAAAGGCAGCAUACUUGCUUUCAUUCGGAAGAUUUUGGUAUCUGAAAUUUUCCCCAAGGAGUGUUCUGCAAGUUUCAAAUCUGAAAUUUGAAUUUCAAAUUCCAAAUCUUAAAAAAACCAAAAAACAAAAGUAGAAACAACAGGAAAAAGCUCAAAAAUACUGUUACAUUGAAAAAUCCCUAGGUCAAUUUCAAGUUUUAGAUGGUUGUUUUCAUCUCCUAGAUCAAUUCUAGUCACUGAAGUUUCCGGAAGUUUCUGGGUUCAAUUUCGAGUUAUUGUGAGUGCAUUCAAGCUUGCUUUAGGUGAUUUUUGGGUUGAAAUUGGUGCUGGGUCAAUUGAUUUGUUGCUGGGCUUAGGAACUGAUUCCCUGCUGCUAUACUUUGCUCUUGUUGUUUACUACUACUGUUGUUGAUUUCUCCCUCUUCUUAUUGUAUUUCAACUUCCAGGAACACACUUUGAGAACUGGUUCGAUGUAACUUCUCAUGUUGAAAUUGAAAUGAAACGGGGACUGAUUCUCUACUGUAGAUUUGCCUUUUUAAAUAUCAUGUUAUACUUCAAAUAGUCUUCUGUAAUUUAGUUGAUAUGUUUACUGUAGUUGGACCAAGACAUUAGUAUAAUUGUAUGAAGUGAUCUGGAAUCGUUUGAAAUUAGAACGUGUAAUUAUAUAUCAGAAGUCAGUUUGUAGUUGUUUGAAUUAAAGUCAGUCAGGACUAUUUGUAUAAUUGGACUGUUUGGGGACUGUUUGAACACUUGUGAUUUUCAUCUAGUGUUAGCUUUAGAAUAGAGCAGCUUAAUGUUUUUUUAGCUUGAAUUUGUUUUCAUUAAAAUGUUAGGAACUUGAAACCGAAUUGGAAAUCACAUAUUUCUUUUGUAAUUGAUAUUUGGACAUUCGAACUGUUCAGGAAAUUAGUAGUCCGUAAUUAAUCCACAACCAUCUGGAAGCUGAAUCCAGAAUAAGCUGUUAAGUGGAAAUUGAAUCCAACACAUACAAUAAGUUGAUAUUAGUGUAAAAGCAAGCAUAUGUUGUAAAUUUCAAAUGCAUUAGUUUAAUCAGCUUAGCGCAUUUGGAUAAUCAGGUAUAACUAUGUUGAACAGGCAUAGGCUGAUAGGAUCUAAAAUUAAUGACUAAAAUUAACAUGAAUAC
rnacentral:lncRNA from 1 species